GGCAGAUUUUGAAAGGGAAAUCCAUAUCAGUAUAUCGGAUUCACAAAGCUUUUCGGUGGGAACCUUCAAACUUACAAUGUCGGGCACGGCGUCGUGAGUAAUAAAGUAAUGUCCUGCAAAAGCGAAAGGACAUCAUUAUCCAUUAGCUAAUCGAAUGAUCGGUGAGUGCUGGCUGAAGGAUAAUGGCACAUGUUGGGGCAGUAGUUGCAGCGAUGGCCGGUGUGAUGGCCAUUCUGCUUCAUUCUUCCAUUCACAAGAUUGAGGAAGGACAUUUAGCUGUGUAUUACAGAGGAGGAGCAUUGUUGACAUCUCCUAAUGGCCCGGGUUACCAUAUAAUGCUGCCUUUCAUCACCUCAUAUAGAUCAGUGCAGACUACUCUGCAAACAGAUGAAAUAAAAAAUGUGCCUUGUGGAACCAGGUAAUCCUUUGUGUUGUUGUUAUUCCAUCAAUAUGUCCU